CUGAGGGCCGUUUGGGUUGUUUCCACCUUCUGGCUGCUGUGACUAGCGCCGUAAUGGCCACGGGGUGCAAGCGUUCGUGGGGACACAGUCUUCAUUUCUCGGGAGUACACCCAGCAGUGGACCAGCCGUUUCCAGACUCUUCUCCCAGCCCAACCCGCAGCGCACGAGAGCUGCCAUUCCUCCACAUCUGUGCGACAGUCGCGGGCUGUCUUCUGACCCUGGGAGGCUCGGAGCCGAGCAGCAGAGUCACCUGACCAGCCCGGCCUCUUUCUAAAUCGUGAUGGUCUUUUCUCCCGCUUCGGAGGUCACCCUGCCCCCACCAUCGGAAGCAACUCCCCUCAGCGAGGUCACAGCUGGUCACAUGUGUCAAACGUCCUUUCAUCUCUGCCUUUCUCUUGUCAAGUGAUGGCGCUGCGUGACACAAGGGCCUUCCUGCUGCGGCCUUGGGGCUCUCUGGGGUAAGCGCCAUGCACAUCCAGACCUUGAAGUCUUAGUAAUAAAUAAAAGCCAGAUUGGA
rnacentral:lncRNA from 1 species